rnacentral:rRNA from 1 species
UUGCAGGAAUGUAAGGGUGUAUGGUGGAUGCCUUGGCUUCAAGAAGCGAUGAAAGACGUGAUAUGGCUGCGAUAAGUUUCGGGGAGGUGCCAAAUA